GACAGAGGGUGCAAACGUUGUUCGGAAUUACUGGGCGUAAAGCGAGUGUAGGCGGUUUGGUAAGUCGGAUGUGAAAGCCCCGGGCUCAACCCGGGAAGUGCACUCGAUACUGCCAAGCUAGAGUAUCGGAGAGGUUGGUGGAAUUCUCGGUGUAGAGGUGAAAUUCGUAGAUAUCGAGAGGAACACCAAUUGCGAAGGCAGCUCGCUGGGACGUUACUGACGCUGAGACGCGAAAGCGUGGGGAGCAAACAGG
rnacentral:rRNA from 1 species